CAUGCUUCCAAGAAAAGCCCUAUACCCGUUAAGGCAUCAUGGCCUGUACCCGAAACCGACACAGGUGGGGUGGUAGAGAAUACCGAGGGGCGCGAGGUAACUCUCUCUAAGGAACUCGGCAAAAUGGCCCCGUAACUUCGGGAGAAGGGGUGCCACCGCAAGGUGGUCGCAGUGAAGAGGCCCAGGCGACUGUUUACCAAAAACACAGGUCUCCGCUAAGUCGCAAGACGAUGUAUGGGGGCUGACGCCUGCCCAGUGCCGGAAGGUUAAGGAAGCUGGUCAGCGCAAGCGAAGCUAGCGACUGAAGCCCCGGUGAACGGCGGCCGUAACUAUAACGGUCCUAAGGUAGCGAAAUUCCUUGUCGGGUAAGUUCCGACCCGCACGAAAGGCGUAACGAUCUGGGCGCUGUCUCGGAGAGAGGCUCGGCGAAAUAGAAUUGUCUGUGAAGAUGCGGACUACGUGCACCCGGACAGAAAGACCCUAUGAGGCUUUACUGUAGCUUGGUAUUGUGCCCGGGCUCGCAAUGCGCAGGAUAGGUGGGAGGCUUUGAUCAUCGGCUUGCGGGUCGAUGUGAGCCAACGGUGAGAUACCACUCUUUGCGAGCUAGGGUUCUAACGGCCACCCGUCAUCCGGGGGCCGGACAGUACCUGGUGGGCAGUUUGACUGGGGCGGUCGCCUCCUAAAAGGUAACGGAGGCGCGCAAAGGUUUGCUCAGGCUGGUUGGAAAUCAGCCGACGAGUGUAAAAGCAGAAGCAAGCUUGACUGUGAGACCAACAAGUCGAACAGGGAGGAAACUCGGCUUUAGUGAUCCGACGGUUCUGAGUGGAAGGGCCGUCGCUCAACGGAUAAAAGUUACUCUAGGAUAACAGGCUGAUCUCCCCCAAGAGUUCACAUCGACGGGGAGGUUUGGCACCUCGAUGUCGGCUCAUCGCAACCUGGGGCUGAAGUCGGUCCCAAGGGUUGGGCUGUUCGCCCAUUAAAGCGGUACGCGAGCUGGGUUCAGAACGUCGUGAGACAGUUCGGUCCAUAUCCGGUGCACGCGCAGGAAUAUUGAGAGGAUUUCUCCCUAGUACGAGAGGACCGGGAGGAGCGCACCUCUGGUGUACCAGUUAUCGUGCCAACGGUAAACGCUGGGUAGCCAUGUGCGGAGUGGAUAACCGCUGAAAGCAUCUAAGUGGGAAGCCCACCUCAAGAUGAGUAUUCCCAUGGCGUAAGCCAGUAAGGUCACGGGAAGAACACCCGUUGAUAGGCUCUAUGUGGAAGCGCAGUAAUGCGUGAAGCAGAGGAGUACUAAUAGACCGAGGGCUUGACU
rnacentral:rRNA from 1 species